rnacentral:rRNA from 1 species
CCUACGGGGGGCAGCAGUGGGGAAUAUUGCGCAAUGGGCGAAAGCCUGACGCAGCGACGCCGCGUGAGGGAUGAAGGUCUUCGGAUCGUAAACCUCUGUCAGCAGGGAAGAGCGGUCACUGUGCUAAUCAGCAGUGAAUUGACGGUACCUGCAAAGGAAGCACCGGCUAACUCCGUGCCAGCAGCCGCGGUAAUACGGAGGAUGCGAGCGUGAAUCGGAAUUACUGGGCGUAAAGCGCUCGUAGGCGGUAUGUCAAGUCAAGGGUGAAAUCCCCGCGCUCAACGUGGGAACUGCCUUUGAAACUGGCAAACUGGAGUGUGUGAGAGGAUAGUGGAAUUCCAGGUGUAGGAGUGAAAGCCGUAGAUAUCUGGAGGAACAUCAGUGGCGAAGGCGACUAUCUGGCACAUAACUGACGCUGAGGAGCGAAAGCGUGGGUAGCAAACAGGAUUAGAUACCCCGGUAGUC